rnacentral:misc_RNA from 1 species
CCUCCUUUCUAAGGAGAAAUAAAUUUAAAGUUUUAUUUAAAACUUUAAAUUAAAGUGUACAUUUCGUCGCCAACCAAUCCCUUCUUAAUAAGUUAAACUUUAAAUCACGUCUUUUCUUUUUUUGUUAUACUCUUAAAUCUAACGUUGUGUAAGUAAGUUGGGGGUGUAGCUCAGUUGGGAGAGCGCCUGCUUUGCAAGCAGGAGGUCAUCGGUUCGAUCCCGUUCACCUCCACCAAAUUAGGCUACGGGCCGGUAGCUCAGUUGGUUAGAGCGCGCGCUUGAUAAGCGUGAGGUCGGAAGUUCAAAUCUUCCUCGGCCCACCAAAAAAGUUUUUCUUAUUUUGUAAGAAGAUUGUUUUUGUAAAUUGUAAAUAUGUUCCAACCAAAUUAAUUGAUAAUAAAAAUGAGAAUAUCAAUUUCAUUAAAUGUGCAAAAAUAUGCGAAUUUUUUUUCUGCACGCUUAAAAAAUCAAGUGUCUAAGAGCAUAUGAUGGAUGCCUGGGCAUUGAGAGGCGAUNAAGGACGUAACAGGCUGCGAUAAGCCA